GACGAACGCUGGCGGCGUGCUUAACACAUGCAAGUCGAACGGAAAGGCCCUGCUUGCAGGGUACUCGAGUGGCGAACGGGUGAGUAACACGUGGGUGAUCUGCCCUGCACUUCGGGAUAAGCCUGGGAAACUGGGUCUAAUACCGGAUAGGAGCCAUUUUUAGUGUGAUGGUUGGAAAGUUUUUUCGGUGUAGGAUGAGCUCGCGGCCUAUCAGCUUGUUGGUGGGGUAAUGGCCUACCAAGGCGGCGACGGGUAGCCGGCCUGAGAGGGUGGACGGCCACAUUGGGACUGAGAUAAGGCCCAGACUCCUACGGGAGGCAGCAGUGGGGAAUAUUGCACAAUGGGCGCAAGCCUGAUGCAGCGACGCCGCGUGGGGGAUGACGGCCUUCGGGUUGUAAACUCCUUUCGCUAGGGACGAAGCUUUUUGUGACGGUACCUAGAGAAGAAGCACCGGCUAACUACGUG
rnacentral:rRNA from 1 species